rnacentral:tRNA from 1 species
GCGGAGUUAGUCUAGCUCGGUUAUGACGUCAGCUUCCCAAGCUGAAGGUCGCGUGUUCAAAUCCCGCACUCCGCA